rnacentral:rRNA from 1 species
UUCCUACGGGAGGCAGCAGUGAGGAAUAUUGGUCAAUGGCCGCAGGGCUGAACCAGCCAAGUCGCGUGAGGGAUGACGGUCCUAUGGAUUGUAAACCUCUUUUGUCAGGGAGCAAAGGGCGCCACGUGUGGCGCUUUGCGAGUACCUGAAGAAAAAGCAUCGGCUAACUCCGUGCCAGCAGCCGCGGUAAUACGGAGGAUGCGAGCGUUAUCCGGAUUUAUUGGGCUUAAAGGGUGCGCAGGCGGCGAGUUAAGUCAGCGGUAAAAUUUCGGGGCUCAACCCCGACGAGCCGUUGAAACUGGCUU